rnacentral:rRNA from 1 species
CAGUGAAGAGCUCGACAUCCUAUAUUAUAAUAAUGACCCCAACCUCCCAUUUUACUCCCAAUUUGGGGAUCUUUCCCCAACGGGGCGAAAAACAUAACGGAGCAAUUCCGCCGGGAGGGAGGGAGGCUCUUGGGUUGUAAACCUCUUUUUUCAGGGAAGAAACAAAAUGAGGGUACCUGAGGAAUCAGCAUCGGCUAAAUUCGUGCCCGCAGCCGCGGUAAUUCGGAGGAGCCAAGCGUUUUCCGGAAUGAUUGGGCGUAAAACGUCCGCAGGUGGCUGUGUAAGUCUGCUGUCAAAGAGCAAAGGCUCAACUUUGUAAAGGCAGUGGAAACUACACGGCUAGAGUGCGUUCGGGGCAGAGGGAAUUCCUGGUGUAGCGGUGAAAUGCGUAGAGAUCAGGAAGAACACCGGUGGCGAAGGCGCUCUGCUUGGCCGCAACUGACACUGAGGGACGAAAGCUAGGGGAGCGAAUGGGAUUAGAUACCCCAGUAGUCCUAGCUGUAAACGAUGGAUACUAGGCGUGGCUUGUAUCGACCCGAGCCGUGCCGUAGCUAACGCGUUAAGUAUCCCGCCUGGGGAGUACGCACGCAAGUGUGAAACUCAAAGGAAUUGACGGGGGCCCGCACAAGCGGUGGAGUAUGUGGUUUAAUUCGAUGCAACGCGAAGAACCUUACCAAGGCUUGACAUGUCGCGAACUUUUCUGAAAGGAAGAGGUACCUCGGGAGCGCGAACACAGGUGGAGCAUGGCGUCGUCAAC